rnacentral:rRNA from 1 species
GGACAAGAAUAGGCUUCGGCUUAGCGUCUUAGCAGGCGAUUCUUCCACGGCGCACGAAGCGCGUCGUGGUAUUUCGCGUAUUGUAAUUUCAACACGAGCGGGGUCAAAUCCUUUGCAGACGACUUAGCUGUGCGAAACGGUCCUGUAAGCAGUAGAGUAGCCUUGUUGUUACGAUCUGCUGAGGGUAAGCCGUCCUUCGCCUCGAUUUCCCAGUGAAUGGCUCCGUCAGGUUACGGGGCUUCGCAGGGGUUUCAGGGGAGCGGGCCCAGUAGCUUUGGCCGCUGCUCGAAAAGUCCAGCGUCUUGGAGGCAGGUUUUAUUCCUGAUGCGCCAGAUGACGGACGGUCAAAGGACCAACUUGAAAAAUUCUCGUUGCGGGUUUUUUUUUCUUUGAAGUUUUAAACUUCUUAAGGAAUUUCUUAAGCGUUCGCAGGCUGUAGCAGGGAAUGAAUUCUCAUCCCCGGUUAUUUCCCCCCCCCCAA